rnacentral:rRNA from 1 species
CCAAGGAGUCUAACAUGUGCGCGAGUCGUCGGGUCGUGAACAGGCCCGCAGGCGCAAUGAAAGUGAAGGAUGACCUUGUUGUCGUCUGCGUUGGGAUCCCCGGUCCGCUGCGUCCGGGGCGCACCAACGGCCCGUCCCUUCCGCAUCGCCGGUGGGACGGAGCGAGAGCGUACACGUUGGGACCCGAAAGAUGGUGAACUAUGCCUGGGCAGGACGAGGCCAGAGGAAACUCUGGUGGAGGUCCGCAGCGAUUCUGACGUGCAAAUCGAUCGUCAGACCUGGGUAUAGGGGCGAAAGACUAAUCGAACCGUCUAGUAGCUGGUUCCCUCCGAAGUUUCCCUCAGGAUAGCUGGCGCUCGAGGGAGUCAGUCUCAUCCGGUAAAGCGAAUGAUUAGAGGCCUUGGGGCCGAAACGACCUCAACCUAUUCUCAAACUUUCAAUGGGUGAGAAGUCCGGUUUACAUGACUGAAGCCCGGACAAUUCUCAGGAUGCGAGUGCCCAGUGGGCCACUUUU